UUUUUUGGCUUAGUUUUGGCUGAGUGCUUUUUUUCAGGGAAGUUGAACUUAUAUUAGAAAAUUGGAGAUUUUUAUUUAGGUUUUAAUAUUAUAUACUUACUUUUAAGGUUUGGUUAUCUCUUUAGGUCUAGCAAAAAUAGUGCCAGCGGCUGCGGUUAUACUAUAAGAUCAAAUAAAGUUAAGUUUUAGAAUGAAAAUAUAUUUAAGAUUGAGGGAGGCUGUGAAAACUAAAGGUAAAAUUUAUGUUUUUUGGGUUUUUUAUUUUAGAUAUUUUAAAAAUUUUACAAUAGACCAGGAUUAGAUACCCUGUUAUUAAAAAGUAGAGGAUUCAGGUAGUAUUAGAUGACUUAAAACUUAAAAAAUUUGGCGGUGUUUUAAUCUUAUUAGAGGAACCUGUUUUUUAAUCGACAAUACUCGACAGAUCUUACUUGAGUUAAUGGCUUGUAUAUCGUUGUGGUAAUAAUGUUUUAUAAUUAUUAUUAGGGGUAAUUUUAUUUUUGAUAUCAGAUCAAGGUUCAGCUUAUGCUCAAGAGAAAAAUGGGUUACAAUAUAGAAAUAUAUUAUGGAGUUUAUAUUUUAAAAGUAAAUGAAGGUGGAUUUAAAAGUAUUUUUAUAGUAAUAUGUUAAUUUGAACUAGCUCUAAGACAUGUACAUAUCGCCCGUCACUCUCUCUUUAAUGAGAGAAAAGUCGUAACAUAGUAGGCAUAUCGGAAGAUGUUCCUAGAAG
rnacentral:ncRNA from 1 species